AUUGAACGCUGGCGGCAUGCCUUACACAUGCAAGUCGAACGGCAGCACGGGAGCAAUCCUGGUGGCGAGUGGCGAACGGGUGAGUAAUAUAUCGGAACGUGCCCAGUCGUGGGGGAUAACGUAGCGAAAGCUACGCUAAUACCGCAUACGAUCUAUGGAUGAAAGCGGGGGGAUCGCAAGACCUCGCGCGAUUGGAGCGGCCGAUAUCAGAUUAGGUAGUUGGUGAGGUAAAGGGCUCACCAAGCCGACGAUCUGUAGCUGGUCUGAGAGGACGACCAGCCACACUGGGACUGAGACACGGCCCCAGACUCCUACGGGAGGGCAGCAGUGGGGGAA
rnacentral:rRNA from 1 species